rnacentral:rRNA from 1 species
CAGCAGCCGCGGUAAUACGGAGGAUCCAAGCGUUAUCCGGAUUUAUUGGGUUUAAAGGGUGCGUAGGUGGCUUUUUAAGUCAGGGGUGAAAGACGGUAGCUUAACUAUCGCAGUGCCUUUGAUACUGAAGAGCUUGAAUGAACUAGAGGUAGGCGGAAUGUGACAAGUAGCGGUGAAAUGCAUAGAUAUGUCACAGAACACCAAUUGCGAAGGCAGCUUACUAUGGUUUUAUUGACACUGAGGCACGAAAGCGUGGGGAUCAAACAGGAUUAGAUACCCCGGUAGUCCCUGUCUCUUAUAA